ACAUAUAUAAACAAAAAUUUCGAAAAAAUAUUAAUCAUUAUUAAAACAUUUUGAUUAAUAAACAACAUUAAUAAUAAUAAUUAAUAUAAUAUUUUAUAUAAUUGUAACCGUGAAUUCUGUGUAGCGGUGAGCUACAGAUAGCCGCGGGAUUCAGGGUUCGAGCGGUGGGCGUCUAUGAGUGAAAAGACAACGGAUGUGCUCUUAACUAUCUUAUAUUUAUUCAAUAACGUGCAUAAGCCUAAUCUAAUAUGUUGCUCUGUUCUAAUACAUACAACGAUGCCUCGAAAUGCGAGGAGAAUCGAAUGUUGGCAACGUAUCGCGGCGCGCGUGCGCGCGUGGUAUCCCAGUGCUCGAAUUGGCUGCGGCACGUUGAUCGGCGGCAGCGGUCGGUCUCGACCACUGAUCUCAUUAAAGUGGAUAUGGCAUAGGACAAAAUAAGUGUGACCAAUUGAAGAUUGUAGUCUCUGUACACAAUAUGGCGGUGUAUACGAAUACGAACACAGUUUACUGUGACGAUGAUACGAAAUUCCACGUGUAAUUAAUUAUCUAUAGACGUAGAUGUGUAGCAGUUUUAUCCAAAAUAUUACUUUUUUUAUAAUAGAAAUAGUAAAAUAGUAAAAUAGUGAGAUUCCAAAAUUAAAAAAUGUGUUUAUUGUGGAAAAGGAAGUGAAAAUAAACAACGAACGUUUCAUAGAUUCCCAAACAAGGAAAAAUAUUCACAAUUAUUUGAAAAAUGGAUUAAAAUAUGAACCUGGAUUCAAAUAUGUACCUCAUAAGUACAUAAGGAUUUGUUGAAUAUACAUUUUUAUUAUGUUACUUUAAAUUACAAAUUUAAGUUUUAAGUGAUAUGUUUGUUUUAAAUUCAUAUAUUUUAUGUUAUAAAAUAUAUUUAUAAUGUAACAUUAUUGUCAUUAUGUUUAAAUAGCACAGCAUGUGACUUGCAAAGUUUAAUAAAGCACGCAAAAUAACAUUUUUCUAUUACUACUUUUCUAUUACUAUUUUCUAAAAAAUGCGAUAAAAAAAUUAUCUUAUUUUCUUCUAUGCUGUGCAUGUAUAUAGUGCAUGUAUAUACAUUUUAUUAUGUACAUUAUAAUAUUUAUACUUAAAUAUUAAAUAAAUCUAUGCUAAUCUAUGUCUAAUAGUUACUUUUUUUACAAGCUGCAAGUAUGGAUUACUACAACACAAUUAAGGACACGAGGACAAAAUAAGCUAUAACAAUACCCUUUAAACUUAUUUAUAAGUUUAGUAGUAGUAGUAUUAUUUAUUAGUAAAAUUAUUUAACAAGAUGGUCAUAAAUAAAAAUUUACGAUUUUUAGAC